UACAGAGGGGUGCAGAGUCGUUGAUCGAUUGAUGGCGUAAAGGGCGCGUAGGCGGUGCGGUAAGUCACCUGUGAAAACUCUGGGCUCAACUCAGAGCCUGCAGGCGAAACUGCCGUGCUUGAGUGUGGGAGAGGUGCGUGGAAUUCCUGGUGUAGCGGUGAAAUGCGCAGAUAUCAGGAGGAACACCGGUGGCGAAGGCGGGUCUCUGGGCCGAUACUGACGCUGAGGAGCGAAAGCGUGGGGAGCGAACAGG
rnacentral:rRNA from 1 species